rnacentral:rRNA from 1 species
UACGUAGGGUGCAAGCGUUAAUCGGAAUUACUGGGCGUAAAGCGUGCGCAGGCGGUUUUGUAAGUCUGACGUGAAAUCCCCGGGCUUAACCUGGGAAUUGCGUUGGAGACUGCAAGGCUGGAGUCUGGCAGAGGGGGUAGAAUUCCACGUGUAGCAGUGAAAUGCGUAGAGAUGUGGAGGAACACCGAUGGCGAAGGCAGCCCCCUGGGUCAAGAUUGACGCUCAUGCACGAAAGCGUGGGGAGCAAACAGG